GCCUGUUUCCUCUCAGUACUUGAGGCUGGGGAAAGUCUGUGUUACCUUCUGCACUUUCCAGGAGCCCAGGCUGCACAGGAAGUAAUGCUUUAUCACAGAAUAAUGCAUCCUGGGAAUGUGCAUAAGUCAACGUCCAAUACAGGAGCCCUUAUGUGACAACCUUUCACCUGCAGAUUCUGAGACGGAUGUAGAUUCUGUACCCAGGAGGUACAGCAGGUGGGUGUGGUAACAAGUGAAAUUCAACACUAAAUAAUAUAUUAAUAUAACACAUUUUCCUGUGUGUGCAUGCAUGUUUGUGAGUAUUCAUGUGGUGGUGGUGGGGUGCACAUACACAAAUGUAGGUGUGUCAGAGUCUCUCAGUCAAACCCAGAGCUCACUAAGCUGCAUUGCUUUCUCUGAGGAGCCAUUGAGCCUUGUCCUAGCGCAGUGUGUAACAUAUUCCUUAAAAAACUGUGUGUGGAUGCUUUACCUGCAUGUACGUCUGAGCACUACAUGGGUGUCUGGUGCCCACAGAGGCCAGAAGAGGGCAUUGGAUCCCUCGGGGCUGGAGUUACAGACAAUUGUGAGCAGCCAUGUGGGUGCUGGGGAUCAAACCCAGGUCCUCUGGAAGAGAAGGUGGUGUUCUUAACCACUGAGCCAUCUCCCACUCCCCUCAAUGUAAUGCAUUUUUUAAAAAUCAAAAUGAAUGCAAAAAAUCAAAUGAUGUGUAAAAUAAUCAAGCAUUUAAAUAAAGGCUGGCUCCAACUCACACAUGGUUUAUUCCCUUUCCCUGGUCCAGUCCUGCCGACUUACUCUAAAGAGAGUUUGAACACCAGUUUCCAUUUGAUUACCUGCUAGGUGACGUUAGGUUAAGUGACUGGAAGGCCUUGAGCCUCCAUUACCUCAUCUGUGAAAUGCGAGAAAUGAUCAACCUUAAAAGUUGUCCUGAGGGUUAAAUGGGGGACCGCCUCCGAUGUCACACCAGCCCUUCGUCCUAAGCUUUAUAGGAGCCAUCGUGAACCAGAAAUAAUCUCUAAAGCACCAAAUCCAACUGCCUGUCCACGGCCAACAUGCAUGCCUGCUGAAUACUUAGAUUAACUAUGGGAACGGAAGUGCGUUCAGGGCUCUCAGCUGACGGGUAACGCUGAUGUCCACACAGGAUGUGAAGAGGCACCAGUCUCAUCAGAGGCUGGAAACGCAGAUCUCUGGGACCCUGGACCAGAACUAUCGACAAGAAACAGAUGAAGAACACGGAAGGGAAAUGGGAAGCGAGCAGCAUAUUUAAACAGGGACUUUCACACAAGAAGAAAUACAAAGGACCAGCCAUCCCUGGAGCCAUGUUCUACCUCAGUGAGAGUCAGAGAAGUCCAAGAGGAAUUACGUAAAAGUCCUAACUUCUAAAAGUCACAAUCCCCAGUCGUAGCAGAGGCCGGUGGGGGCGGUCCACACUUGCUGGAAGGACAGCAGGUACAGCAGGAGGAAGCUUCUCUGAUGAUGGUUGAACAAGA